rnacentral:rRNA from 1 species
CCCUUAGAUGUUCUGGGCUGCACGCGCGCUACACUGAUGCGAUCAACAAGUUUUUCCUAUGUCGAUAGACACGGGUAAUCUUUUGAACUCGCAUCGUGAUGGGGAUAGAUUAUUGUAAUUAUUAAUCUUCAACGAGGAAUUCCUAGUAGGUGCAAAUCAUCAGUUUGCAUCGAUUACGUCCCUGCCCUUUGUACACACCGCCCGUCGCUGCUACCGAUUGGUUGAUCUGGUGAAUUAUUCGGACUGCCGGCUGAAGGGGUUUCCUCAUCUGCCAGCGGAAAGUCUUGUUAACCCUAGCAACUAGAGGAAGCAGAAGUCGUAACA